CCUACGGGAGGCAGCAGUGGGGAAUUUUGGACAAUGGGCGCAAGCCUGAUCCAGCCAUGCCGCGUGCGGGAAGAAGGCCUUCGGGUUGUAAACCGCUUUUGUCAGGGAAGAAAUCCUUUGAGCUAAUACCUCGGGGGGAUGACGGUACCUGAAGAAUAAGCACCGGCUAACUACGUGCCAGCAGCCGCGGUAAUACGUAGGGUGCGAGCGUUAAUCGGAAUUACUGGGCGUAAAAGCGUGCGCAGGCGGUCUUGCAAGACAGGUGUGAAAUCCCCGGGCUUAACCUGGGAACUGCACUUGUGACUGCAAGGCUGGAGUACGGCAGAGGGGGAUGGAAUUCCGCGUGUAGCAGUGAAAUGCGUAGAUAUGCGGAGGAACACCGAUGGCGAAGGCAAUCCCCUGGGCCUGUACUGACGCUCAUGCACGAAAGCGUGGGGAGCAAAACAGGAUUAGAUACCCUGGUAGUCCACGCCCUAAACGAUGUCAACUGGUUGUUGGACGGCUUGCUGUUCAGUAACGAAGCUAACGCGUGAAAGUUGAACCGCCGNGGGAGGACGGCCGGCGAGGUUAGAAACGUACGAAAGGAAAGUUAGACGGCGUUGAGGAGNGCCGAACGGACGACGACGAGGGGAAGGUUAGGGAG
rnacentral:rRNA from 1 species